GACGAACGCUGGCGGCGCGCUUAACACAUGCAAGUCGAGCGAGAACCGGAGCUUCGGCUCCGGGGACAGCGGCGAACGGGUGAGUAACACGUGAGUAACCUGCCCUCGGCACCGGAAUAGCCCGGGGAAACCCGGAUUAAUGCCGGAUGGCCCCUCUGCCCUGCGGGGCGGCGGGAAAAGGUAGCUUCGGCCUCCGGCCGAGGAUGGGCUCGCGGCGGAUUAGCUUGUUGGUGGGGUAAUGGCUCACCAAGGCGACGAUCCGUAGCUGGUCUGAGAGGACGAUCAGCCACACUGGGACUGAGACACGGCCCAGACUCCUACGGGAGGCAGCAGUGGGGAAUCUUGCGCAAUGGGCGAAAGCCUGACGCAGCGACGCCGCGUGCGGGAAGAAGGCCUUCGGGUUGUAAACCGCUUUCAGGUGGGACGAAGCCACUCGGGUGAACAGCCCAGAGGGUGACGGUACCUCCAGAAGAAGCCCCGGCUAACUACGUGCCAGCAGCCGCGGUAAAAC
rnacentral:rRNA from 1 species